CAUGCAAGUCGAACGAAGAUGCCGGAGUGCUUGCACUUUGGCAGACUGAGUGGCGGACGGGUGAGUAACGCGUGGGUAACCUGCCUUAUACAGGGGGAUAACAGUUGGAAACGACUGCUAAUACCGCAUAAGCGCACGGUAUCGCAUGAUACAGUGUGAAAAACUCCGGUGGUAUAAGAUGGACCCGCGUCUGAUUAGCUUGUUGGUGAGGUAACGGCCCACCAAGGCGACGAUCAGUAGCCGGCCUGAGAGGGUGAACGGCCACAUUGGGACUGAGACACGGCCCAAACUCCUACGGGAGGCAGCAGUGGGGAAUAUUGCACAAUGGGGGAAACCCUGAUGCAGCGACGCCGCGUGAGUGAUGAAGUAUUUCGGUAUGUAAAACUCUAUCAGCAGGGAAGAUAAUGACGGUACCUGACUAAGAAGCACCGGCUAAAUACGUGCCAGCAGCCGCGGUAAUACGUAUGGUGCAAGCGUUAUCCGGAUUUACUGGGUGUAAAGGGUGCGUAGGUGGUAUGGCAAGUCAGAAGUGAAAGGCUGGGGCUCAACCCCGGGACUGCUUUUGAAACUGUCAAACUAGAGUACAGGAGAGGAAAGCGGAAUUCCUAGUGUAGCGGUGAAAUGCGUAGAUAUUAGGAGGAACACCAGUGGCGAAGGCGGCUUUCUGGACUGAAACUGACACUGA
rnacentral:rRNA from 1 species